ensembl:lncRNA
AUGGCACAAAUAUUUAUAAAAAAUCUAUUGGAAAUUAAUAAUGUAUUUAUUACAGGAACUGCUCAUAUUUAUGACUCUGUUGAUGCAACAAUUAAGAAAGACAUAAAUACAGACAGUGAAAGUGGGCCUACUGAUCUCACCUAUGCUGAGAUUGAACACAAAUCUACUAAAACACAGAUGAAAAAGAAAGAAAACAAAGGGAACAACACUGAGAGUUGUGACAUCGUUUACUCUAAACUGAAAUUGGAAAUGGAUCAAGGUGCUGGAUCUAGUGAUGUGACGUAUGCUCAGGUUAAAUAAAUGCCUGGAGGAGAAGCUUACAAUCCCAGGA